AGUGUUGUAGACGCCCAGUUGUUAAUUCUUAUGCCUAACUCAAAUUUAUUAUCGUUCUUAACUAGGGAGGUGGCAACAAGAGCAGAUGCAGCCCUGCCAGAAGACUCCUGUUUAGAUCCAUCAGUGUAUAUAACUUGUUACUACCAGCUAGAUAUGGAUAAGAUUGUGAGGAUCGAGGGGGCCACCUGCAGUGACCAGAGGUGGUUAAGUUUUCUCACACGUCUACACGGGGUGACUGCGGUAAACGAUAUAGUUAUUGUCUCCCAAUGAGAUUACUCGUAUGUAUGUGAUGUUGAGAUGGAGGAUUGAAAUAUGAGUUGAUACUACAACCACUGGAUCAUUGGAAACACUGUUCCAUUGACAAGACUGGUACCACUGUACUAUUCACAAGACUUCUACCACUGUCAUUUGACAACAAUGCUACAAGUGUACCAUUAAUUAACACUGGUAGUACUGCAUCUGUGACAAGUGUUACCACGGUAAAAUGGAGAACAUUGGUACCCCUGAACCAUUGAAAACGCUGGUACCUUUGUGCCAUUAAUAACACUGCACCAUUGACUAUGCUGGAACCACUGUAUCUCUGACAACAGUGCUACUGGCAACACUAGUUCUACCUGUGUAGCUUUCACAACACUGGUACCAUCGACACUACUACCACUCAUGCUUAUUCUAUUUAUAUCAGGAUUAAUGUCUGUAAUUUAUCUAUCGUGUUAGGUAGCUAUAUAAAUAAAACCACAUUUUGUGUGGAGUGUCAUAUAGUGAGAAUUAACAUCAAUUCAUAAGAGAAGGUUGCUAAGUUGAACAACUCCCACGUAAUGUCACUCAACUCUGUUUACAUCUGGAAUUAUAGCCAAUGACAGUAAAGUACUCUUGCAGCAUGAGUAACUGAAGGACUUGUAAGGUUAAUGGUGAUUGUUGACGUCAUAAUGGUUGGUCAACACUAACUUUCUCUUAUGAUCUGCUGUUGCUCACUGCUUCUCUAUUAGUGAUUGAUAAUUAAUGACAUUAUUAUUAUAAUCACUACUAAGGGCUAAAUAUGACAAAGCUGAGUCAUUUAACCAAUCAGCAUUCACCUUACAAGUCCUCAUGCUGCUAGAGUACUUUACACUCACUGUGAUUGGGUAUAAUUCUAGAUGUAAACAAAGAGUUUCUACCAAUGAAAUGCGAGUUUUUGAGUGACGUUAUGUGGGAGUUGUUCAACUUAGCAACCUUCUCUUAUGACUUGCUGUUGAUCAUCUUAGUGACAAAUUCUCUCACUAGAUGGCACUCUAAAAAAUACACAGAAAACCUGCCAAAGCUUCGUUCGUCAU